rnacentral:tRNA from 1 species
GGAAGGGUAUGCAAAUGGUCAAGCAAGCGGUUUGCUAAACCGUGACGGUCUAAAAAGCCGUUUGUGGGUUCGACUCCCACCCCUUCCG